AACAGAACAUGUAGGAACAGAACAGCAUGUUGGAGCAGAACAGCAUGUUGGAACAGAACAGCAUGUUGGAGCAGAACAGCAUGUUGGAACAGAACAGCAUGUUGGAGCAGAACAGCAUGUUGGAACAGCAUGUUGGAACAGAACAGCAUGUUGGAACAGCAUGUUGGAACAGCAUGUUGGAACAGAACAGCAUGUUGGAACAGAACAGCAUGUUGGAACAGAACAGCAUGUUGGAACAGAACAGCAUGUAGGAACAGAACAGCAUGUUGGAACAGAACAGCAUGUUGGAACAGAACAGCAUGUUGGAACAGAACAGCAUGUUGGAACAGAACAGCAUGUUGGAACAGCAUGUUGGAACAGAACAGCAUGUAGGAACAGAACAGCAUGUUGGAGCAGAACAGCAUGUUGGAGCAGAACAGCAUGUUGGAACAGAACAGCAUGUUGGAACAGAACAGCAUGUUGGAACAGAACAGCAUGUUGGAACAGCAGUAUUACUGUUGGUACAGUGAUUACCUAUUGUCACUGUGUCUAAAUUGGGAGCCGUGUCAGAUGACUGGUCUGACGUCAGUAGAGUCGGAUGUCAAGAGGUUCUGUUUCUAUUGGUCCUGUUUCCUGUGAGGCCAGUCAAGAGGUUCUGUUUCUAUUGGUCCUGUUUCCUGUGAGGCCAGUCAAGAGGUUCUGUUUCUAUUGGUCCUGUUUCCUGUGAGGCCAGUCAAGAGGUUCUGUUUCUAUUGGUCCUGUUUCCUGUGAGGCCAGUCAAGAGGUUCUGUUUCUAUUGGUCCUGUUUCCUGUGAGGCCAGUCAAGAGGUUCUGUUUCUAUUGGUCCUGUUUCCUGUGAGGCCAGUCAAGAGGUUCUGUUUCUAUUGGUCCUGUUUCCUGUGAGGCCAGUCACGAGGUUCUGUUUCUAUUGGUCCUGUUUCCUGUGAGGCCAGUCACGAGGUUCUGUUUCUAUUGGUCCUGUUUCCUGUGAGGCCAGUCAAGAGGUUCUGUUUCUAUUGGUCCUGUUUCCUGUGAGGCCAGUCAAGAGGUUCUGUUUCUAUUGGUCCUGUUUCCUGUGAGACCAGUCAAGAGGUUCUGUUUCUAUUGGUCCUGUUUCCUGUGAGGCCAGUCAAGAGGUUAUGUUUCUAUUGGUCCUGUUUCCUGUGAGGCCAGUCAAGAGGUUCUGUUUCUAUUGGUCCUGUUUCCUGUGAGGCCAGUCAAGAGGUUCUGUUUCUAUUGGUCCUGUUUCCUGUGAGGCCAGUCAAGAGGUUCUGUUUCUAUUGGUCCUGUUUCCUGUGAGGCCAGUCAAGAGGUUCUGUUUCUAUUGGUCCUGUUUCCUGUGAGACCAGUCAAGAGGUUCUGUUUCUAUUGGUCCUGUUUCCUGUGAGGCCAGUCAAGAGGUUCUGUUUCUAUUGGUCCUGUUUCCUGUGAGACCAGUCAAGAGGUUCUGUUUCUAUUGGUCCUGUUUCCUGUGAGACCAGUCAAGAGGUUCUGUUUCUAUUGGUCCUGUUUCCUGUGAGACCAGUCAAGAGGUUCUGUUUCUAUUGGUCCUGUUUCCUGUGAGGCCAGUCAAGAGGUUCUGUUUCUAUUGGUCCUGUUUCCUGUGAGGCCAGUCAAGAGGUUCUGUUUCUAUUGGUCCUGUUUCCUGUGAGGCCAGUCAAGAGGUUCUGUUUCUAUUGGUCCUGUUUCCUGUGAGACCAGUCAAGAGGUUCUGUUUCUAUUGGUCCUGUUUCCUGUGAGGCCAGUCAAGAGGUUCUGUUUCUAUUGGUCCUGUUUCCUGUGAGACCAGUCAAGAGGUUCUGUUUCUAUUGGUCCUGUUUCCUGUGAGACCAGUCAAGAGGUUCUGUUUCUAUUGGUCCUGUUUCCUGUGAGACCAGUCAAGAGGUUCUGUUUCUAUUGGUCCUGUUUCCUGUGAGACCAGUCCAGAGGUUGUUUCUCCAGCGCGUCAGUCUUUCUGUAGUUCAGUCAUGUAGCUGCACAUCAGCAAACAUCCUCACGUUCUUGUCCUCUACUUUGAAAGUCUGUUUUCAAUACAGCAUCACAAGACAAAAUUAUCAGGAAAUUCAAUUUUCUUUGAUUAAACAACCAUAUCAAUAGUUUGGAAAUUAUUAACUUAAUAACAAAUCAAAAAAAUACACAGUCCCAGUCAAAAGUUAGGACACACCUACUCAUUCAAGGGCUCUUCUUUAUUUCUACUAUUUUCUACAUUGUAGAAUAAUAAUGAACACAUCAACACUAUGAAAUAACACAUAUGGAAUCAUGCAGUAACCAAAUCAAAAUAUAUUUUAGA